AGAUAUUUUGAAUCGUUAUUUUAUAGUUGAAAAACAAAACAAAAAAAAACGUUUAAAAUCAUGUAUGGUCUUGUUUACAGCAAUAGAGUGCACGUGAUUCCACAAGCGAGCUUCAGUUCCAAGAUCAAUUUUAUUCCUCAAAUUUGAGAUAGCAGAUGUGCUACGUUGUUACAUAAAUUCUUGAAGUUGGAGGGGGAUAAUAGUUGAUCUCUGCUUUUGUAACAGCAGUUUUGUUACACGUAGAUCAGACAGACUUGUGUGAUAAAACAUUUUCUUAAUGUAUGCCUGGUAAUCCAGGACAUUUCUUAAGCUGAUGUGUUUGUCUCAUGCUUUUAAUCAUUUCAUGCAUCUGAAAAUCUGUUAAGUGCAGAGGAAGGAGUACACACAUAACUUUGCUUAUUGGUGGGGUUGGGGGUUUAUUCUUGAAUUAAUACCCUUAAGCAAUUUUCACUUGCAGUAGAAAUGAUGUUCAGGCUUUAAGAAAAUAUAAUGAACUGUUAAUGGCACUAAUGUCUGUUGCUAGAGAGCAGACCAAGCUGAUAUUUUUGUUGUUUUUCUUCACUAUACCAAAACUAUUUCUGGUUAUAAACUCAACUGCCAUUUUAGCCAUAGUAUAGAGUCAAACUGUUCCCAUUUGAGAGUCUACAUUUGAUUUUUUUAUUAAAAUAUACUAUUUCAGUUAUUCAUCUCUUGGGCAUUUAGACUAAAUUGUGCCUGUGUUUUCCUGGAGUCAGUAACAUUUUGUCCUAUAACAAUCAACAUACUAUAGUUGCUUAAAUUCCUGGUUAUACCCAAAUGUAUAUCAUGUGUACCAUUUUAGUAUGAAAUUUUGGUUGACAUUCUUCUAUGAAGAGCUGAUUCUUGAGAUGUAGAAGAAUUGUCAUUUGUGUGAUAUUAGCAGUCUGGAGCUUUAUUUAUAAUUUAUUUUGAAAAAUAAAAAUGCCACAUUUAUUCCCCAAAUGUCAAGAUUUUCUAGGCUUACAUAAUUAGAAUAAUAAGGCUAAAGACAUUUUUAAGCAUAUUUUAUAUGUAGUGAAAUACUGUGAAAUACUAGUGAACAGCAUUUUGCUGUGAUGUUGAUUUCAGUCAUUAGAAUUUAAAGAGUUAGUCACCAGGGUAUGGUAGGUGAGCAUAGUUAUCAUUUAUUAUAAAUCAAACAGAUACUUUUCUGUUUGCAUGCAAACUAUUUUCAUAAGUGUGAAAAAGGUCUGGAAAAUAAUAUUUUUACUUUUUUAAUCUGGACUUCCCUUUCCCCAAUUUAUAUUUUAGUUUUUUUAAUACCACUUCCUACAAAUGUGUCAUAAUUUGUAUCAUAUUGAAUACUUUUAUCAUUUCAGUUUUCUAGAGAGCUUUUAAACCUAAAUAAGAUCUGGGUUCAGCCAUAGCAAAGAAAGUAGGAAAUGAGUUAAGAAUUCUGCACAUGAAGACCACUGUUAGGCCCAUGAAAACACACACAUGUAGAGCUUUAAUCCUGUGCUAUAUCUGAAUAGUCAGUAAGCUAUAAUAUUUCAUGAAUGCUAGUGUUCAGAUUCCAAGCUUCAUGACCUUAGCAUGUGUAGAUGUUUAUAAAAUUGAAUCAUGUGUUUCUUCUCUGGCUUGCUGUACAUAUCUCAGCUAGCAAUAGGAGGCUCUCCAAAACAUGCACAAACCCACUAGCCUAAUGACUAAAUUUGUUUUUGUAAAAGUCUUUGUGUGCUUGUAUGUAUGUAGCUUUUUUCUAGUUUGACAUACCUUAUCCCAGACAUUAAAAAGAGAGACUAUUUUCGAUGGAGGACACUGUCUACCAAUUAUUUGCCUCUUUAGAGCUCAGCCUGUGCAUUUCUUAGCGCUUAAUCAUCCAUGUCAUUAUGUCUUCUAGAUGACAAUUUUGGUUUUGUCACGUGUGUCCCUCUUUUCUUUUCAUUUAAUUUUGGUCUUUCAUUUGUUUGUAUUUUCUCUUUCCCUCCCCAGAAAUCAGGCUUAUUCUAGAAAUUGUUCCUAAGGUGCUUCCUUUGCUCCAGAGGCAAAGGAACUGAGUAAAAUGCUGAAGUUUCCCUCUACACACUUUAGUUCUCCUAUACCUAAAUUAGCUUUCAGAUGUUGUAAAUUCGAGUGAUUUAUCAUUUGGUUUUGUUUUAAUCAUGUAGAUUGUCAUCAGACAAUACAGUGAUUAAAAGAGAAAGAUGUGAAUGCCACUUCUAACUUUUGAAUAAAACUUUUGGAGCAUUUUUUAAAAUGUGCAAGUUUGUGGUAAUGAUACACACCUUACUAUAUAUGGAAUCAUUUUAUGCACAGUUGCCAACUGGUACUUCUUUAAAGCUGCAUUUUCAUGCCCUCAAAAAGGAAUCUUAAAACAUGCUAUUUUCACUACAUUUUGGUGUUCAGCCUUUUAAGCAUGUACAAUAACAUUUGAAAGUCCAAAAUUAAUAGUUCUGGGGGAAGGAAUAGGGCUUUUGAUAUUUAAAGUCUUUUAUUUUAAAUGCUAACCACAUUCACCAACAUCUUGGUGGCAGCCGAGGCUUUAUGAAUGUUACUGAAAAUAUUCUAAGAUCAUUUUUUAAGGCUUGUUUUUAAAAUUCAUGGUGAAAUAUUGCAUGCUGUUUUUUUUUUUCUUUACAUCUCUUAACACCCAAAUGUUAAUUUACCACAUUUACAAAGUUUGAGUUAAGAUCCAAUUAAAGUGAAAGGUUUUUAUGGUGCUGUAUUUUAUGGAACAUGGAGAGCACUCAGGUUUCUUGAUAUUUAUUCCUUGCUAUGGUCUUAUAAUCCUUAAAUAUUUCUUUUGUAGUCUUUCUUCUUGGGCUUGCUCUUAUAUCUACGUCUUUUCAUUAGGAAGACUGUACUUAACCAGCAUACUUCAAUCAGACUGGAAAUUUCACAUUCAUUCC
rnacentral:lncRNA from 1 species